rnacentral:rRNA from 1 species
AGCAGUAGCCGCGGGAAUACGUAGGUCCCGAGCGUUGUCCGGAUUUAUUGGGCGUAAAGCGAGCGCAGGCGGUUUGAUAAGUCUGAAGUUAAAGGCUGUGGCUCAACCAUAGUUCGCUUUGGAAACUGUCAAACUUGAGUGCAGAAGGGGAGAGUGGAAUUCCAUGUGUAGCGGUGAAAUGCGUAGAUAUAUGGAGGAACACCGGUGGCGAAAGCGGCUCUCUGGUCUGUAACUGACGCUGAGGCUCGAAAGCGUGGGAGCGAACAGGAUUAGAUACCCGCGUAGUCCCUGUCUCUUAUACAC